AAAAAAAAAAAAAAAAAAAAAAAAAAAAAAGCAGACAAUACAGUUUGGACAACUUGAAGUUCGGAUUUAUUGCAUCUCCAUCAAAUCAACACUUGCCGAUGUGUCGCAUAUGUGAAAAAGUAUUCAGUAACGAUGCCAUGAAGCCUUCAAAAAUGGAUGACCACUUAUCAAGAAUACAUGCUGACAAGAAAAUUGGCGUGGGACGUAAGAAGUGGCAGAAAAUCGCACUGGACGCAGAGUCUGUAACUACACAUCCUUGCAUCAGCCUAAUGGACUGGUUGGUGCCUGAUGUCCAAAUGAAAAUUUUUAAAUCUGGAACUCUACCCACAAAUUAAUGUUCAGAAGUGGCAGCACUGUUUCUUGGUACAACACGAAGUUUCUUCUGUACGUGAAGCUGGUGCAUCUUGCAGUCGUCAGAAGUUGUUAUAAGGCAAAGAUGGGGUACAUGACCUACAGGAACCUCUGCACAGCAUAGCUCUGUGAUAAGUUGCUAAAAAAUGUACACUCUGUGCAAUUCUAGUUGUGGCCAUUCACAUCAGAAUGGUUCUUAAGCAGGUAAAACAAUUGCGAUUUUUGAAGAGUUUGCAGACUAUUUAUCUGAACUUCAGAAAUUUCAUACGAGGACAUGCUAAUGUUGGUUCAGCAGAGACAGUAAAUGUAGAUGACGCGGAUAUAGGUCUCUACUUUCAUGUUAUGUUAUGGUUUCUGUUGACGCAAUAGGUAUUUGACAAAAAAAUGGUUUCCUGUUGGUUAUUGGCACGUUGGCACGAUCAUGUGCUAUUGUAAAAACUGCUAUAUUGAGACAUUUCAGAGUGUGUGUGCAAAUGGACAGGCCUGAAGAAUUUGUGAUACUUAUCCCUAUGGUUGUAACACCAUGCCCAUAUAUUGUGAACAAAAUCUUAUUAUUUAGAAAAGAAGUAGGUUGGAAGCAAAUUUUCACAGUAAUUCUGCAAGAGAUAGCUUUUUGCAGGGGUCUGAAUUGCUGUGGUGUGGGCAAAGUAACAAAGGAAAAAAUAGGAUUGAGUUAUUAUUUUAAGGCACUGCAUUCUGCGCCCUGGCAGCUUUCUUCUGAUGUACUCUAUUCUGCUGGCCAUGUGAUGGGGAAUGUCACAAUUUUGCACUGUGAUCCUUACCUGCCAGUGAGAAGUUCCCUCGGCCUUUGACUGUAAACCAACACAGCUACCGUGUCAAAGGUCAUAGUCCUUAGAUUAACUUUUAUCUUAAAAUGUAGCUUUGAUAGGUUGUUAUCUUUCGUACACACAUUUUCGUGAAACUCUAAAGCAGAUAGUAUUUUUGUGUGAAUCCUGCGGAAUUCACUCUACAGGUCCAGCCUACAAAAGAUUAUAAUCCCACACUCGAGACUUGUCCCGUUGCUCUAUUAACCCACCUGUUUUACCUGCACAGGAGUGUAGCUAGUAACAAUGUAAUUAUUAUUGGCUGUGGAAAAGCCCUCGGCCUCUGGAUUUGGAGGGAAUUCCACCUCAACUUUCACUGUAAGCAGCGACAAUGUGUGUAAUCCAGAUAGUACUGCCCCUAGCUCGUUCCCUCGGAAGAAAGAGGCUUACAAAGGAAGAUUCUGUAUUUCCGACACAGCGUCCUCGAUGCCAGGCUCGUAAACCGUCGGUACUGAAACAGGGAGCAACAUAAUGGAAUUGGGGAUAUCAUCCUCGAUUGGCUGAUAACACAGUUUCAAGUGUUUUUAAGAAACCUGUGGGAUUUGUUAAACCUGUAGGUUACUGAUUACUGAUAAGUGUAUCUCUGUAUGAACCAGAAUGAAAAAAGGCCUUCACAAGCCAGCACUCAUGGGUAUAAGGAAGAAUUCAGAAGGAUAGGGUGUGUCCAAACUCCCUGGUUACUCAAGAUUCUAAAUGCCCUCUGUUAAAAUGACAGUGCCACUCUGGUCAGGUGGCCAAUACACCCUGACAUUGCCAACUGCAUUUGUGUAGAAGGAUUGGUUAUCAGACUUGUAUUUGUUAGUUUUCAGAUAGCAACAUAUACAUGCAAGGGGCCUUGCAUUAAGCCUUCUUUAUCCAUCUGUACCCCCAUUUGAAAUAAAUGCUACAACAUGUUGUUCCGCUCCUGAACAGCACCAUUGACUUCCUCAACAAAUAGCUCCUCACCUGACAACAUUUCAUUUAUUUUAGUCCCUCCCAUUGUUCACCAACUGAGACAGUGUGUGUGUAUUCCUUCAACUGUUACUUAUGCACUGUAUCCAUCUUUCGGAUAUAAAAUGAGUUUGCAUCCAUUAUC